GCUUAUUAUCCUUUACUUUGUUUAUUAAAGCAGGCAGAGCCUCACUAUGCUGUAUGGACUGAUCUGGAACUCACUAUGUAGAUCAGGCUGUGAUCUAUCUGUUUCUACCUCUCAAGCAUUGGGAUUAAAGGCUCUUCUCUUCCAGAAAAUACACUGGCUCUCUGCAGGUAACUGGAACAAGUGGCUACACAUCUUGCCAAGAACUGAGCUCCCUCGGGAAGGCUGACCUGAUGGUCUCAGGUCACUACACUUUCUCACAUUCCCAGAAUGCGCAGGAAGAUCCCAUUCUUCCUCCUUGCCAACUCAAACUUUGUUUGUUUGUUUUUUAUCUCGGUGGCUUCAAAAAGUGUAAUGUUACAAUCUGGUAAAAAAAGGAUUAUGGAAGAAUAA